CGCUCUGAUGGCCUAGUGGUUAGAGCAUCUGUCUUGGAUGUGGAGGUCAUGGGUUUGAUCCCCGACUGAGUCA